rnacentral:rRNA from 1 species
CCUACGGGUGGCAGCAGUGAGGAAUAUUGGUCAAUGGGCGCGAGCCUGAACCAGCCAAGUAGCGUGAAGGAUGACUGCCCUACGGGUUGUAAACUUCUUUUAUAAAGGAAUAAAGUGAGGCACGUGUGCUUUUUUGCAUGUACUUUAUGAAUAAGGAUCGGCUAACUCCGUGCCAGCAGCCGCGGUAAUACGGAGGAUCCGAGCGUUAUCCGGAUUUAUUGGGUUUAAAGGGAGCGUAGAUGGGUUGUUAAGUCAGUUGUGAAAGUUUGCGGCUCAACCGUAAAAUUGCACUUGAUACUGGCAGUCUUGAGUACAGUUGAGGUAGGCGGAAUUCGUGGUGUAGCGGUGAAAUGCUUAGAUAUCACGAAGAACUCCGAUUGCGAAGGCAGCCUACUAAACUGUAACUGACAUUGAUGCUCGAAAGUGUGGGUAUCAAACAGGAUUAGAUACCCCGGUAGUC